rnacentral:sRNA from 1 species
GUGGUCGGAACAGAAGAGGAUGAGCGUAUCGUCGAGCAUCCGCGUCCGCGUGAGCG